rnacentral:lncRNA from 1 species
CGAGGCCUACUUUAUAACGAAUAUAAUAUAUUUAGGUGUGAAUGAUUAAAGCGGUCAGGAUGGACAAAUCUGUCAGCGGUUUAGUCCAUUCUAUUUUUGGAGCGGACAAUAAACCACGGCGGACCAACUCUAUUUAUACAUGAAUUUGGUCUACACUUGGUCCGCAACAAUUUUUUUUUGUUUUUUUUGAAACGUCACAACUGCAGAUACAAUUAAUGAAUGGUAAACAAAAAAUGAUUAGUUACAUAGAUGGUUUUGCCUGCUCAAACCGCUGUAUCCAUUCACAACCUUACGAUUUAUAUCCGUCCACUGUAGUACUGUUUUGGCCAAGCCAAUUGAUUAAUAACCCAC